UCGCCCACCGCGCCGACAUACACGCCGGCACCUCGCUCGUGCCUCUCGAGGCCUCCCAUCUUCCGUAGCUAGAGAUCCCCAUCCACUAGCAUCCACUUGGGCUCCAGCCCACUCCUGAUGCACACGCCAGCAUUAUCCAGGUCUGCAUGGUUUGCAUGUCUGCCUACCGUGCACGCACACCUGCCUAGCUACGCCGACCUACUACCGUCCUCCUCGACCCGACCCGCCGCCGCCGCCGCCUCCCUCUGGCCGCCGUGCCGGCCGCACCAGCAGCUGCUGUUGUGGGUUGCCGCCAGAGCCGCCGCCGCCCUUGCUGGUAGUGGUGGUGGUUGCGGGCUGCUGCGGCGCGGCCGUAAUGACAGCCGCAGCGCCGCCCACGGCACCCACUGCCACUGUUUCCACCGCCACCGCCGGCUGCUGCAGCCGGCGCAGCAGGUAGGCCUCCUGCUCCUCCGGGCUCUUCAGGCCCGCCCACUCCCAGUACGGCAGCACAAGAACGCCGCCGCCCUCCCCGAACGCCCGCCGCAGCUGCCGAAUGCGCAUGGCCGUACCACCGUCAACAGCGGUGGGGUCGCGCUUUAGAUUGGACAGAAAGCGUGCCGGUCCGAGGAGCUCCACCGCCGCCUGCUGCCCGUCACUCAGCCGCACCACCGCAUCCACUGGCGCCAACGCGCCUUGCGCGACCACGCCCGUUUGUACGGACACGACGGCAAGGCCUCCUGCUGCCUCACGCCCCUGGUGCUGCUCAAGCCGCCGCAGCGCUGCGACGACCUGCUUUUGGAUGUCAGAUGUGGGCUUGGCGUUUUCCCUCUCAGCAGUCACCGCCGCUGCCAUCGCCGCCUGCAGGCCGGGGCUGCUCCCCAGGGCCGCCGCAACCUCGCCGCCUAGCUCUUGCUGCGCCUGCCACAGCUGAUUGAGAUUCUCAGUUGUAAAACCCUCCCAACGGCUUACUGCUUCACGGGCUAGCUGAAUGGAUAGCUGCUGCAUGUCGGGAGAAUACGUGCCUCCAAUCACCGCCAUGGCCCACAGGCUGUUUGAUAUGUUUUGGUUGUUUACCGCCUGCCUGUCGCGCUGCAGCAGCUCGCCCAGCCGGCCGCACACCGCCGCCUCCAAGCCAGCGUGCCGCAGCUGCAGCACCGCCAGCGCCCAGAGCGUGUUUGCACAGUUCUGACCACCGGCACUACUGGCGCGCAUGGCUGCUGCUGCUGCACCCGCAUCCAGCAGCUCCGGCGGCGGCUGGUGGCGCAUCAACGCAAGCGCGUACAGCAGGUUGGCCCAGGCCUGAGGCGUCGCACGGGCCAUGACGCCCGGCCGCAUUGCUGCGACCACCGCUGCCGAAGCCCACUGCCGCUGCUCUGCCGGCGCCUCCGGGCCCACCCCAAAUCCGAUCUUGGCCAGGGCCCACGCUGAGUUGCUGAGGUCCUGAGCCACGUACCCGGCAAAUCCCCGACGCACGUCCUCUGCGGCCACUGCCACCACCAGCUCUGCCUGCUCGCCGCCCAGCUGCAGCCCCUCCAGCGCCAGCAGGAUGUUGGACAGAUGCUGCGGCUUGAACGCUUCAGCAUCCUUCGGUGCUCGGAGCUGCCGCAGCGCCUCCCCGCACAGCGCCUCAACUGCUGAUCGGUACUCUGGUCCCAUGCAACCCAAAGCCGCAAACGCCCAGAGGGUAUUGGACAGAUGUUGCGUCUCCAUGCUGAGACUGAGCGCCGCUGCCGCCUCUGCCAGCGGCAGCAGGAGUUCCGGUUCCGGGUAACCCAGCUUGGCGCACGCCCAGAGAAUGUUGGACACGUCCUGUGCUGUGAAGCCGUGACCAACCGCCACUCCCAACCGGGAGGCCACAGCUGCCGCCAAGGUCUGCAAGUGCGGAGAUGAGGUGGGGUCCCAGCCUGAGCCCCGCUGCUCCUGGUCUUGCUUGAUCUUGCCGAGUGCGUACAUGACGUUUGUAAGACUUUGAGGUUUUGCAGUUCCAAGAACCUCUGAAUCCAACAGCCGCUCCAGCAGCGCUGCUAUGAGCUGAGCCUCCAUGGCCGAGCCGCCGCUGAUCCCUGCUUUCCCCAGCGCCCACAGCACGAUGCUGCAAUCAACCGCCUUGCGGAUGCGCGGCACGAGCGGCAGGUAGGCCGGCGCAAGCAUGCCGAUAAUGCUGCUGCGUGCUACAGCCGUUUGGCUUGCUCCAGCGCGCGACUCCAGCUGCGUUCAAAACAGUUAUGAGGGACAUACAUGGGGUCAAGUGCUAUAUGCAUGUGUUUGUGCGUGUGCGUGAACAGGUGCGCAUGCAAGUCCUGUGUGGCCAUCUGCGUCGUGAGAACCGGAAGUCCGGGCCGAGAAUGACAACAAUUGGACUCGCCCUCAAUUCUGCACUUUAUUUCUCUGCCCAUUCCCACCUGCACGUUUUAGUCCUCCCUCUCACCUUGCCGCACAGGUUGAACGCCGCACACAUGGUAAUGAAGUCUUUUCGGCCCUCCCACACUGAUAGCCGCUGGCUGAUGAUAGCUUGCAGGUCCUCCAGAGUCCGACACACGGUCAUGUCAUCCGCGGGGUCACGCCCGCUGCCCCUGCUUCUGCCGCUGGCGCGGCUGCCAUCGCCUGCCCUGCCUCCGCCGCUUCCCCUACCCGCCGCCGCCUGCACUAUUGGCCGCCCGAGGCGGGAGCUACUGCUGCCGCAGAGCACUACCGCCGUCGAGACGCGCAGUGGGGAUGAGCUGCUACUGUUGAGUGCUGGGACAGAAGUAGCGGCGGCAGCGCGCGGUGAGCUGGGGCCGGUGUCGGCAGCGGUCCGAUGCAUGCCAUAAACGAACAGUCUUCUAAACGCGCACGCCGGUGGCGGUGCCUGGAGACGGGCUGAUAACGAAUGGCUACAGCCAUGUACGCUGUGCCUGUGCGCACCAGCGGGAGAGCCCGCGACGACGCGCAGGGCGAGCAUCUCGGGCCUCCUCACGGCGGCGACCUGAGCUAUAGCGACUCUAUCCGUCUACGUGUCUGAGCACUGCAAAUGCAUUAGGCUUGCAUUUGUGGGAGAAUAACGCAAGGAACGAAAGGUCAGGUGCGUGUAGGUCGCUGGGCCAAAGCCGCCUGAGUAGCUGUGGCUUGGUAUGGAUGAUAAAGCAACUGAAUCAAUUUGCCACCGGUGUUGAGGCGAGGGCGACCUGACCGCGAAAUACACGGCCCGAGGGCACGCCCCGUAUCAACACCCCUCGCGACCUCCAAACACGUGCACUGAACCGCGAAGCCCUCCCCCAAGCCUAUCGCGGCUGCUAUUCCCAUGUCCUCCUCCCCAACCAUUCUGCAUACAGGCUCUGGCGUGAGUCCCUGCCCGCGUCAUUUGACACCCGUCGACCACGACUGAGGUGCAACGCAUGUCGCUUACAAUUCCAACAUCCCGCCCGACACGAGAGGGGCAGAAACGGCGGGGCAGACGGCCAGCCUCUUGAACAUGAGCAUAGCAGUGCCAUAGCGCACAUUGGGUCCCCGCCUGCUUCACCUGGCCACCUUUGCUGAUUUGUCUGACAUCCCUGUCUACACACUUUUAUCCGCCCACGCUUGAGACGUCCUCCUCAGCGCGCAGGCUUCACGGUACCAACCGUGCGGUAUCAUCGCUACAUGAUGAGUGCACUGCCCCAACCAUUGAAGCAUCACAAGGUGCUUGCCUGCCGCCGCCGCCGCUGAUACGUACACGAUUGCUGCCACACAACCAACACAUCACACCCAACAAUCACAACAACAAAACAACUGAGACCCGCCGCCGCGCAACGCACACUGCUGUACACGCCCCAGGGCCGAGAACACAACGCAACACAAGCACCUGACAUGCCUCAUCCAGGCAUGCGUCACUCAAUCGCCCACCGAGCCGACCUCGCACACGCCGUUCGUGAGCCCCUGCGGCUGACAUGCCCGGCCCUGCCCCCUUGGCACCGCAGCCCUGCCGCCUUGGCACCGCCGCCCAUUACCCCACCCCCAUGCUGCGUGCCAUGUAAGAAUAAAGCCAGGUCCCCAUCAAGCCGCAGCAUAUAUCCCCGCCAAGCCACCACACUCCUCUUGCCGCACGCUACCAACCACCACCAGCACAGGACCGGCACCUGCCUGUCCCCCUGUUUAGUUUGGGCUGAUAUUUACAACCCCCCACCCUCCCCUCCCCACCUUCCCCAUUGCCAACCUCGCCCACCGCGCCGACAUGCACGCCGGCACCUCGCUCGUGCCUCUCGAGGCCUCCCAUCUUCCGUAGCUAGAGAUCCCCAUCCACUAGCAUCCACUUGGGCUCCAGCCCACUCCUGAUGCACACGCCAGCAUUAUCCAGGUCUGCAUGGUUUGCAUGUCUGCCUACCGUGCACGCACACCUGCCUAGCUACGCCGACCUACUACCGUCCUCCUCGACCCGACCCGC
rnacentral:lncRNA from 1 species